rfam:Cavia porcellus supercont2_135 genomic scaffold, whole genome shotgun sequence.
UGGCGCCUCCAACGUGGGACCAGAGAAUGGGGGAAUUAGUGAGGGACGCUGUUUGUGGGCCCAAAGCAUAAAAAGGAAAAAGAAAAUAGAGGACCAUCAUGGGAGCCUGUCAUGCUGAACCUUGGUAAGUGAACAGCGAUUAUGGGACAAGAAAUUAGCCAGCAUGAGACUUUUGUUAAAAAUUUAGUAAAACUUUUAAAGACACAAGGAGUUAAGGUGAAUAUAGAACAAUUAUGCCAAUACUUCGAUUUUAUAAAAGAGGUUUGCCCUU